AUUGAACGCUGUCGGCAGGCCUAACACAUGCAAGUCGCACGAGUGGCGGACGGGUGAGUAAUGUCUGGGAAACUGCCUGAUGGAGGGGGCUAACUACUGAAAACGGUAGCUAAUACCGCAUACCCUCAGAUGUGCCCAGAUGGGAUUAGCUAGUUGGUUGGGUAACGGCUUACCAAGGCGACGAUCCCUAGCUGGUCUGAGAGGAUGACACGCCACACUGGAACUGAGACACGGUCCAGACUCCUACGUGAGGCAGCAGUGGGGAAUAGUGCACAAUGGGCGCAAGCCUGAUGCAGCCAGGCCGCGUGUAUGAAGAAGGCCUUCGGGUUGUAAAGUACUUUCAGCGGGGAGGCGUUACCCGCAGAAGAAGCACCGGCUAACUCCGUGCCAGCAGCCGCGGUAAUUC
rnacentral:rRNA from 1 species